rnacentral:tRNA from 7 species
UCGGUUCAAUCCGAUAAGGGGCU